GGGGUUGUUACUUUAACCAUUUAAUUAGUCCUGUUGUUUAUAUUGGUGGUGUGAUGCUCAUUUGCAAAAUCUAAUUUUUAGGAUUUACAUUUAGAAUAUAUUCCAAAUAUAUAUAUGGUUAUCAAACUUGACAAGUAUGGAAUUGCUAAUGAAUUCCAUUAAAUCUUGUAAAAUUCAUUUCUUCCAAACAGGGGGUUUAGUUUUUGAUCAACAUUUCUAUUUUACAUUUUGCAGUUGAAGAAAAUGAGCAAUUCAA
rnacentral:misc_RNA from 1 species